AACCCAGUGCAAUUCGUUGCACUAUCGUUAACUGAAUACAUAGGUUAACGAGGCGAACCGGGGGAACUGAAACAUCUAAGUACCCCGAGGAAAAGAAAUCAACCGAGAUUCCCCCAGUAGCGGCGAGCGAACGGGGAGCAGCCCAGAGUCUGAAUCAGCUUGUGUGUUAGUGGAACGGUCUGGAAAGUCCGACGGUACAGGGUGAUAGUCCCGUACACCAAAAUGCACAGGUUGUGAACUCGAAGAGUAGGGCGGGACACGUGGUAUCCUGUCUGAAUAUGGGGGGACCAUCCUCCAAGGCUAAAUACUCCUGACUGACCGAUAGUGAACCAGUACCGUGAGGGAAAGGCGAAAAGAACCCCGGCGAGGGGAGUGAAAAAGAACCUGAAACCGUGUACGUACAAGCAGUGGGAGCACCUUCGGGUGUGACUGCGUACCUUUUGUAUAAUGGGUCAGCGACUUAUAUUCUGUAGCAAGGUUAACCGUAUAGGGGAGCCGCAGGGAAACCGAGUCUUAACUGGGCGUUAAGUUGCAGGGUAUAGACCCGAAACCCGGUGAUCUAGCCAUGGGCAGGUUGAAGGUUGGGUAACACUAACUGGAGGACCGAACCGACUAAUGUUGAAAAAUUAGCGGAUGACUUGUGGCUGGGGGUGAAAGGCCAAUCAAACCGGGAGAUAGCUGGUUCUCCCCGAAAGCUAUUUAGGUAGCGCCUCGUGAAUUCAUCUUCGGGGGUAGAGCACUGUUUCGGCUAGGGGGUCAUCCCGACUUACCAACCCGAUGCAAACUACGAAUACCGAAGAAU
rnacentral:rRNA from 1 species